CAGCAGGGCAGCGAUCGUCUCCACCCAGGUCAUCUUGAUGCUGGUGGAGGACGCCUGCAGUGUGAAGCGUUCUGCCGAGCCGCGAGACCACAACACAAACUUACAGGGGUCACCAUCCACGCUGUCCUGCAUUGCCAGUGUAAACCACUGUUCAACAGGCUCACCUUGAUGCUGUUCUUGAACUGGUAUCCCGGGUUGUUGGAGCCUUUGCGCAGCAGUUCACUGAAGAUGAUGAUCUGCUCGAACAGGAAAACCCUGCGCUCUUUACUGCGAGACAAAACUCCUCCGUCCUGCUCCCAAACACAGAAGGUCUCCUGCUGCAGCAGCUUCCCCUGAGACGUCAGCUUCCCCUGGGUGACGGACAGAAAGACAGGCGAGGAGAGACAGGAAUCCCUCUGACCUCCAGCCUGGACAUGAAGCCCUGACAGACGCAGACAGACAGAACAUGCACACGCACGGUGUUUUUAUACCGCCUGAGCGUUGCCAGUGAGGGGCGUGGUCAGCUCCGGCCUGUUGUCCCGCCUCCUGGUUCUGAUUGGCGGUUUCUUCUGUCCGUCAGCUUUACCUUGACUCAGCCUCCGAACAGGACUGGUCAACCAACGCUGCAAACAGUACGCAGUACGACUGCGAGGAUCAGCUGUUACCUUCAGCGUGUUUCCGGUUCCAGAGCCGCUGCGUUUGGGCCCUGGAGAGCCAACAGCGCCACCUGGAGCCCCACCCAUUCCAAAUACUGUGGGGGAGGUGGCACCUGAGAGGAGAAACAAGGAGGGGUCAGUGACGUCCUGAUGAGUCGACCGUACAUCAGUACUGUCCUGAUUGGUGACGGAGGAACGGCCGGGUGGUGACGCAUGUCGACACGGUACACCGGUACAUUCAGGCGGGGAGAAUGAUGUACUCACCCUUCCCAGCGCUCACAGCAGAGGAGGAGUUGGAUGCA